AAGAGGGAAUCCGGUGCGAAUCCGGAACUGCCCCGCAGCGGUGAGUGGGAACGAAAGCCGUCAACCAAGCACUGGACAGACGCUCUUGUCCGGGAAGCGACGGCCGGUAGGAGCCGGUACGGCCACCAUGGCCCGGCACGCCCGCGAGUCCGAAGACCU
rnacentral:ncRNA from 2 species